rnacentral:rRNA from 1 species
GACGAACGCUGGCUGCGUGCCUAACACAUGCCACUCGAACGGGGGCCAAGGGAGCUUGCUCCCUGAAGACCUAGUGGUGAACGGGUGAGUGACACGUGAGGAACCUGCCCCGGACUCCGCGAUAGGCCGAGGAAACUCGAGCUAAUACCGGUCGCCCUCAUCACGGCGCCUGGCAUGAUGAAGCAAGUUUUUCGGUCCGGGAGGGCCUCGCGGCCUAGCAGCUGUUUGGUGGGGUACCAGCUCACCAAGGCGACGACGGGUAGCUGGUUUGAGAGAACGAUCAGCCACACUGGGACUAGGACCCGGCCCAGACUCCUACGGGAGGCAGCAGUGGGGAAUCUUGCGCAAUGGGCGAAAGCCUGACGCAGCAACGCCGCGUGCGGGAUGACGGCCUUCGGGUUGUAAACCGCUUUCAGCAGGGACGAAGAUGACGGUACCUGCAGAAGAAGCUCCAGCUAACUACGUGCCAGCCGCCGCAGUAAAAC